UUUUCUCUCCUCUCAAACUUUUUCCUUUCAAAAUAUAUAAUCGUCACAACUUUUUUUUUCUUUCUUUCUUUCCAUUAAAGAGAGGUGAUUCAUCGUCAAUUUUGACCCGAAAUCACCCUUCCGAAUUGUUUUUCUUUCUCUUUUAGCUAAAUAAGUGAUUUUUUACAUAAUUUCAGUUUUCUUUCGUUGAUUUUGUGAUUUCGUUGUCUAGCACGACGUUGAUUAUUUUUAUCUCCCGUCUUUGUGUGGUGUAUUUUUUAUUUUCGGUCUUCGUGCGGUGUUUAUUUGAUUCAGGUUGAAAGUAGCUCAAGGACAAGGUCAUUUGGUAUACAUGGUGGUACCUUCCAAAUAGACGAUUUUGAUCCUUCACAUUGCCAAGUUUCCUGAUAGGUGAGAUAAUUAGGUCAAGUUUUCUUUAGACAAUAGAUAUGUUAUCGAAUAUUUUAACGGUGUCGAUGCAGUUAAAUAAAUUCUAGUUAUAUUAAGAGAUAAAACAUCUCAUCUUAUCUUAGUUUCGUACAAACAAAAGCAUGUUCAAAUGACAUUUGUACUAUCAUUUUGAGUAAAUUUUUGGAACAACUCUCUCAUAUUUUAUUGUGUCUUUACUCUCUUUUUCACUCAUUGUCUAUUGUUUUUGUUCUAAAAAAAGUGAGAAGAACAAUAUGAUUGUCCCAAAAAUUGUCAUAAAAUAAUUAUAUAAAUAUCUUUUUAAUUAUGAGAGUUGUACAAAUAUUAUUAUUCUAAUUGUUGUCACAAAAUAAUGUAUUUAAUAUAGGGCUAUAAUUUUGUUUAGAAUUCCAUAGAAGUUGAAUUUUAUGGCUAAGAGAAGUAGCAAGAAAGUGGCAUGUGGUAAUUCAACCGGGAUAAACAUUACUUAUACAACAACUAUAAGUAGCCAUAACGAGAAAGAGGAAUGAUAUU
rnacentral:lncRNA from 1 species